GGGUUGUGAGGUUAAGCGACUAAGCGUACACGGUGGAUGCCCUGGCAGUCAGAGGCGAUGAAGGACGUGCUAAUCUGCGAUAAGCGUCGGUAAGGUGAUAUGAACCGUUAUAACCGG
rnacentral:rRNA from 2 species